rnacentral:lncRNA from 1 species
CGACACUGGAAGUGUAGACCGCCAUUCAGAGACCCUGAAAGAGGAUGUCAGAUGUCCUGGGAAUGGAGUUUCAGACACAUGUGACCCACCAUGUGGGUGCUGGGAAUUGAACCCAGGUCCUCUGAAAGAACAACCAGUACCUGUGUCAGCUUGGAAUCUGUAAAGGUGGCCAUCUCAUAGCCUCAUACUUAGUGGUGAACAUUGACAAUUGAUUGUCUGUAACUAAUAGAUGCCCUGAUAAGUGAAUGUUCAUGGGAAAAACUUGGAAAUGAAGUCAUUUUAAAGAAGGAAAUUAAGAUUGACGUGUUGUCUCAGAAAUGACCUGUAGAGAUUAUUUCUCCUACACAUUGUCCUCCCUCCUGCACGUAAGCUGUAUAUGUCUUUUAAGUUACUUAAGACGUUAUGUAUAUUUUGUGUUUGUAUAUUAUUUUUAUCUCUUUGCUUAAAAUAACAUAUUAAAUAAUUCUCCAUGUCAUUAAGAA